CGGGGGCAACCCUGGCGGCGAGCGGCGGACGGGUGAGCAAUAUUUGGGAAUCUGCCUAUUAGUGGGGGACAACCCGGGGAAACUCGGGCUAAUACCGCAUACGCACUACGGUGGAAAGCCGGGGACCGCAAGGCCUGGCGCUAAUAGAUGAGCCCAAAUCGGAUUAGCUAGUUGGUGAGGUAAUGGCUCACCAAGGCUACGAUCCGUAGCUGGUCUGAGAGGACGACCAGCCACACCGGAACUGAGACACGGUCCGGACUCCUACGGGAGGCAGCAGUGGGGAAUAUUGGACAAUGGGCGAAAGCCUGAUCCAGCGACGCCGCGUGGGUGAAGAAGGCCUGCGGGUUGUAAAGCCCUUUCGGUGGGGAAGAAAAGCCUCGAGUUAAUAACUCGGGGUCUUGACGUAACCCAUAGAAGAAGCACCGGCUAACUCUGUGCCAGCAGCCGCGGUAAUACAGAGGGUGCGAGCGUUAAUCGGAAUUACUGGGCGUAAAGCGCGCGUAGGCGGCUUUGCAAGUCGGGUGUGAAAUCCCCAGGCUUAACCUGGGAACUGCAUUCGAGACUGCAUUGCUAGAGUAUGGGAGAGGGAAGUGGAAUUUCCGGUGUAGCGGUGAAAUGCGUAGAUAUCGGAAGGAACAUCAGUGGCGAAAGCGACUUCCUGGACCAAUACUGACGCUCAUGUGCGAAAGCGUGGGGAGCAAACAGGAUUAGAUACCCUGGUAGUCCACGCCAUAAACGAUGACAACUGGAUGUCGGGAGGGUCUGCCUCUCGGUGUCGUAGCUAACGCGUUAAGUUGUCCGCCUGGGGAGUAC
rnacentral:rRNA from 1 species